rnacentral:rRNA from 1 species
ACUAGCAGUAAGAGUUUGAUCCUGGCUCAGAGCGAACGCUGGCGGCAGGCUUAACACAUGCAAGUCGAACGCUCGUAGCAAUACGAGAGUGGCAGACGGGUGAGUAACGCGUGGGAACGUACCCUUCGGUUCGGAAUAACCCGGGGAAACUCGGGCUAAUACCGGAUACGUCCGCAAGGAGAAAGAUUUAUCGCCGAAGGAUCGGCCCGCGUCGGAUUAGCUAGUUGGUGAGGUAAUGGCUCACCAAGGCGAUGAUCCGUAGCUGGUCUGAGAGGACGAUCAGCCACACUGGGACUGAGACACGGCCCAGACUCCUACGGGAGGCAGCAGUGGGGAAUAUUGGACAAUGGGCGCAAGCCUGAUCCAGCCAUGCCGCGUGAGUGAUGAAGGCCUUAGGGUUGUAAAGCUCUUUUACCAGGGAAGAUAAUGACGGUACCUAGAGAAUAAGCCCCGGCUAACUUCGUGCCAGCCGCCGCGGUAAUAC